rnacentral:rRNA from 1 species
GUGGGGAAUUUUGGACAAUGGGCGCAAGCCUGAUCCAGCAAUGCCGCGUGCAGGAAGAAGGCCUUCGGGUUGUAAACUGCUUUUGUACGGAACGAAACGGUCCUGGUUAAUACCCGGGGCUAAUGACGGUACCGUAAGAAUAAGCACCGGCUAACUACGUGCCAGCAGCCGCGGUAAUACGUAGGGUGCAAGCGUUAAUCGGAAUUACUGGGCGUAAAGCGUGCGCAGGCGGUGCUGUAAGACAGGCGUGAAAUCCCCGGGCUUAACCUGGGAAUUGCGCUUGUGACUACAGUGCUGGAGUGCGGCAGAGGGGGAUGGAAUUCCGCGUGUAGCAGUGAAAUGCGUAGAUAUGCGGAGGAACACCAAAGGCGAAGGCAGUCCCCUGGGCCUGUACUGACGCUCAUGCACGAAAGCGUGGGGAGCAAACAGGAUUAGAUACCCCUGUAGUCC